rnacentral:rRNA from 1 species
UACGGAGGAUGCAAGCGUUAUCCGGAAUCACUGGGCGUAAAGCGUCUGUAGGUGGUUUACUAAGUCAACUGUUAAAUCUUGAGGCUCAACUUCAAAAUCGCAGUCGAAACUAUUAGACUAGAGUAUAGUAGGGGUAAAGGGAAUUUCCAGUGGAGCGGUGAAAUGCGUAGAGAUUGGAAAGAACACCAACGGCGAAAGCACUCUGCUGGGCCGACACUGACACUGAGAGACGAAAGCUAGGGGAGCGAAUGGG